CGUCAAAUCAGCACGGCCCUUACGUCCGGGGCGACACACGUGUUACAAUGGGGGGUACAGAAGGUCGCUACCACGCGAGUGGAUGCCAAUCUUAAAAGCCUCUCUCAGUUCGGAUCGAAGUCUGCAACCCGACUUCGUGAAGCUGGAUUCGCUAGUAAUCGCGCAUCAGCCAUGGCGCGGUGAAUACGUUCCCGGGCCUU
rnacentral:rRNA from 1 species